rnacentral:tRNA from 1 species
GCAUAGCUCAGUUGGUUAGAGCAUGGUGCUGAUAAUGUGAGGGUUGCAGGUUCAAUCCCCGCAAGGGACAGCUGCA